rnacentral:rRNA from 1 species
UACGUAGGCAGCGAGCGUUGUUCGGAGUUACUGGGCGUAAAGGGUGUGUAGGCGGUUGUUUAAGUUUGGUGUGAAAUCUCCCGGCUCAACUGGGAGGGUGCGCCGAAUACUGAAUGACUAGAGUGCGGGAGAGGAAAGUGGAAUUCCUGGUGUAGCGGUGAAAUGCGUAGAUAUCAGGAGGAACACCGGUGGCGAAGGCGGAUCUCUGGGCCUUACCUGACGCUGAGGCGCGAAAGCUAGGGGAGCAAACAGG